ACUCUGUAGCAGCUGGCUCACUGCUGGGGUCCUCGGUUCCUCGGGUCCGAACCUACACAGGUGGACUCCAAUGAGGGACCAAACAUACAUAAACAUAACUCUAAUAUACUCCCCAAAAACCCCCUAAAACAUCAUGAAACAAUCACAUAAAAACAUGCAAGAAAUGGCUGAACAGGGCACUUUCGGCGGCAGGUUCGGCGGCCGAAAGUCCCUCCAGAGCCGAAAGUCAGGCAGGUUCGGCGGCACCUUCGGCGGCCGAAACUCCCAGACAGAGACGAAACUCAUGCAUGUUCGGCGGCACCUUCGGCGGCCGAAAGUCCCAGACAGAGACGAAAGUCUCCUUUCGGGGGCAACUUCGGCAGCCAAAAGGCCUGCCUCCACAAGGGGGUUCGGCGGCCGAAACUCUCUUCGGCGGCCGAACCUGAGUUUCUCCCGAAUGGCAGAAACUCAGCUCCCCUAAGCACAUUUCGCCUCCCAAGCUCAAAUCACGCAUAAACUAGUUCUAAAACAUGCAUACAUACCAUACAUUACACCUAGGGGUCUCAAACCAGCAUAUACCCCAACUACAACACUUCAAACACACAACAUCAACACACAUUGCUCAAAACAUC
rnacentral:lncRNA from 1 species